rnacentral:rRNA from 1 species
UACGUAGGGGGCAAGCGUUGUCCGGAAUCAUUGGGCGUAAAGCGCGUGUAGGCGGCUCGGUAAGUCCGCUCUGAAAGUCCAGGGCUCAACCCUGGGAUGCGGGUGGAUACUGCCGAGCUCGAGUCCGGAAGAGGCGAGUGGAAUUCCUGGUGUAGCGGUGAAAUGCGCAGAGUAUCAGGAGGAACACCAAUGGCGAAGGCAGCUCGCUGGGACGUGGACUGACGCGUGAGACGCGAAAGCGUUGGGGAGCAAACAGG